AAUUCAUGGUAAGGACACUUUCUAAGCAUCUCUUUGAAUCUCUCCUAAAUUUCGCUUAGUGUUUCAUCUUCCGACGCUUGAAAAGCAACAAUCUCAUUUAUGAACUU